rnacentral:rRNA from 1 species
GGGCUUGACAUCCCACGAACCUGCCCGAAAAGGUGGGGUGCCCGCAAGGGAGCGUGGAGACAGGUGGUGCAUGGCUGUCGUCAGCUCGUGUCGUGAGAUGUUGGGUUAAGUCCCGCAACGAGCGCAACCCUCACCCCUAGUUGCCACCGGGUUAAGCCGAGCACUCAAGGGGAACUGCCAGCGUCAAGCUGGAGGAAGGCGGGGAUGACGUCAAGUCAUCAUGCCCCUUACGCCCUGGGCUACACACGUGCUACAAUGGCCAGUACAAAGGGACGCGAGACUGCGAAGUGGAGCUAAUCCCAAAAAGCUGGUCUAAGUUCAGAUUGCAGUCUGCAACUCGACUGCAUGAAGGAGGAAUCGCUAGUAAUCGCGCAUCAGCACGGCGCGGUGAAUACGUUCCCGGGCCUUGUACACACCGCCCGUCACACCACGAAAGCUGUCUGUACUCGAAGUCGCUGAGA